UUAUAAUUACCAGAUUAAUAGUAGAUAUUUUCUUUAAAUUUAAAGAAUUUGGCGGUGAUUUAGUCUAGUCAGAGGAACCUGUUUUUGAAUCGAUAAACCACGAAAAAUCUUACUUAUCUUUGUUUUCAGUUUGUAUACCGUCAUUAGCANAUAAUUUUUAAAGAAAUAAUUAUUGUGUUUUAUAAAUUUAGAAAAAUUAGAUCAUGGUGCAGCUUAUAGGUAAGUUAAAAUGGGUUACAAUAAUAUUUAUUUAUAACGAAUAAAUAAUGAAGAAAANUUUUUAAGGGNGGAUUNGAUGGUAAUAUAAGUUUAAUAUGCUUAGGAGGNAUGAGCUCUAAAUCNUGUACAUAUCCCCCGNCACUCCNAA
rnacentral:rRNA from 1 species